CAGCACAAGCCCUGGGAGAGAUUGCCUGAGAUGGGGGCAGUGCUGGAGGGAGGCACCCUGGGGCAGAGCUGUCCGUGCUUCUGCUUCUCCAGUUCACGCUGAUCUUUCCAGGAGAACUGGCACAGCGCCCCGACUCCGCGUCCCAUAAAUAAGGCUCAGCAUCAGCUGUCAUGUCAGCAGGAGACAAAACAUUUAAUGUGAAAGGCUUUAAAUGGAAGCAGGAAAUGAAAAGAUAAAGGGCAAAUUUUAUUUUAGAUUCCUUGUUGGUACAUAUUUUCCUUCCUGACAGUGAGGGGAUGCGAUGGCUUUAUCAGCCCACUGCUCGAGAGCCUAUUUAUAGAACCCUCGUGCUUUGCGGGAAAGUGGGAACAAAUGCAGGUUGUAAGCAGAGCAGGGAAGGAAUGAACCCACUGUCCCCUCUUUUCUGAGUGGAUUGGGAGUCUGGAAAAAUUGCUGGUGCCAUAGAAACUAUCAGCACAGGCUGCAGGGAGCGAGCAGGAACAUGGCAGCAAGAGCAGCAUGAAACCACCUUCCUUGCUGCCAAUGGACAUGAGUGGGGUGCCACAGCAAACGUCCCCCAGCACGUGCCAUCACACCAAACAGAAGAUUCUUUCCUAACCUCAAAUACGUUCUGGUUGUAACUAAGCAACCCGCGUCGGGUGAAAGCACCAAGGAGGAAGGCAGCAGUGAGUCAGCCCUGCCCGUUACACAAUGAUGAUUCAGAGCUCUGUCGCUGUCUCACGAGCAGACUUUGAAGAAGUGAAGGCUCACGGCGCACGUAUUGUGAGUCAGUGACACUCAGGUGAGAGAGGAAUCGAAAGCAGAGCCCAAGGACAACUCCCAAGGACUUGCCAAGAUUUGUCCACGUGUGCUCUACUCAUCAGGCAACCUUGGAAACCUUGGGUAUUUGGUAAAUUAUCUGAAGUGACUUCUAGCCUUCAUCCUCGAUAUCAAAAUCCUCCCUUUCAUAGCACUGUGAUGGCUUUGCUUGAAGAGCCUUAACCCUUGGGACACCAGGAGGGAAAUGCUGUGCCCAGGGACAGGCAGCAGCCCGGGGCUGAGGGCAGGAAGGGAUGUGUGCCCACCCCCAAGUACCCCAUCUCUCCUGUACUGACACCUGCUACUUCACAUCACAUCCCAGUAAAGGACCUCAGGAUCCUCAGGAGCACAGCCCGAGGAUGCAGCAGUGCUCAGGAUCUGCAGCAACUUGGAGAACCAAGACUUCAUGCAGAAGCUGCUGAUGUUGGACACCCAAUGCAUGAGAUCUGCCCGCAAAAAACAUGGGAAACUCAUGAUGCUCGAGGCUCCCCCAGUUACCACAGCAUUACUGCUCUGUGCCAUCGCCCAUUUUGAACAGACACUUCACGAAGGACCACAGGAAUACCCAUCAACCCACUAAGCUAAUAAUUACAGCACCUCCAUCCUCGAAGCUGUCAAUCUCUUCAAAGUGCAGCUAAACAAGACAACUGCCUUCCACGCACUCCUUAAUGCCACCUAUUCCCCGAACACAGAUUGAAUUUGCAACUCAACACUUGAGCCUGCUGGCUAUUGAGGUCACCGAGCGUCACAAGGAUCCAUGCUGUCUCAUUAGGCUGUCAUGCAGUCCCAUGCCAUUUUCAGGGUUAUACUUACAACCCACCAUCUCCCUGGAGCAGGAUCUAUUCGAUCUGCGUGAGCAAAAGCAAUUGGAGCAGCCUGUAACUCUUCAACAGAAAUAAAAGGUAACAAAUCAUUCGUAAUAAAUUUAUUUUAUAUAUUGGUUUACAGAGCUAAACUGAACGGAUAAUAAACAGCACCAAGCCAGUGAGAUUUGUUCUACAAAACAAGUUUAAUACAAAAAACAUGACUGCAAUGCUUAACUCCUCACUCUGUAUUUGGAUGGUUAAAAAAAAAA